UACGGGGGGCAAGGCGUUGUUCGGAAUUACUGGGCGUAAAGGGCUCGUAGGUGGCCAACUAAGUCAGACGUGAAAUCCCUCGGCGUUAAACCGGGGAACUGCGUCUGAUACUGGAUGGCUUGAGUUCGGGAGAGGGAUGCGGAAUUCCAGGUGUAGCGGUAGAAAUGCGUAGAUAUCGGGAAGAACACCCGUGGCGAAGGCGGCUCUCUGGGACGGUAC
rnacentral:rRNA from 1 species